UGACUAGAUUUUCACUUAUCCU
rnacentral:miRNA from 3 species